rnacentral:lncRNA from 1 species
UUUUUUAUUAGUGUGCUCGCCAAGAUCUCGCAAUCUCGUGCCUACAUAUCCUUAUGGUGCAAUAAGGAAAUCAGAGCAUUUGUAGUUCGGGGAACUACGGUUGGUUGGUGUCUUUUAAUGAAUGACUGUUUAGAUCGUGUUUUAAAGGCUAAACAUUGGUUUGUCUACUCUCGGUGGAGGCUUAAACACUAGUUUGUUGUGCGCGUUAG